UGGAUAUGCUAUAUGAUAGCUGAGUCAGUC
rnacentral:piRNA from 1 species